CUAAUCCGCGUUACAUGUAAAGUCAUUUCUCAAAACUUUUCCGUCUCAUUUCACUUUCUUUUCAGAACAGCAGCGCAAGCAGAGCAGAGAGAUGAAUCCUCUUCUCCUUUCUUCGAUCCCUUCUUAGAGCUCUGUUGUUAUUCUAGUCUCGUUCUUGAGCUAUUUAGGUAUCAUUGGAUCUAUUCUGCCUGGCAAGAUCGUCCAUGGCGCCACUCUAUCUGAUGGCGCCAGUCUCUGCUACCGCUGCAACGGUCUGUUGUCACUUCUUCUGUUGGUUACUCUUUUAGGAAUUGGUGUUAACACAAAGCUAAUAUCACCCACGGUAGUUGUAGAUAAAGGACUUGAGCUGCUCUCUGC